UCAAUCUCGAUUUUCCUAUCUCUCUCUUCGGCGCCCAGUGACCCACACGUUUGGCCAACCCACCGGCCAUCUUCUCCAGUCGAAACCGGCCUGCCUCUCUCUAUGUUCUUGUACUAGUGAGAAUGAAUUAACAAAUGAAGAUGAGGAUGCAGCUGAUGCAGAAGGCGACCAUUGUGGAUCAUCACAAAGUAAUCGUUAAGUGACGUACGUAUACUUGACCUGUUAGGUUGAGUACGUAUUUGACGCCAAAUGCUAAGCGAACUCGUUGAUAUAUUUUAUUUCAUAUGUAAUAAACAAUUUUUGUGAACUCUUUUAAGAGGUGGUACACUUUGUGUUUAUGAUAUCGUUUUGGAUA